rnacentral:rRNA from 1 species
UACGUAGGGUGCAAGCGUUAUUCGGAAUUACUGGGCGUAAAGCGUGCGCAGGCGGUUUGCUAAGACCGAUGUGAAAUCCCCGGGCUUAACCUGGGAACUGCAUUGGUGACUGGCGGGCUAGAGUAUGGCAGAGGGGGGUAGAAUUCCAUGUGUAGCAGUGAAAUGCGUAGAGAUGUGGAGGAAUACCGAUGGCGAAGGCAGCCCCCUGGGCCAAUACUGACGCUCAGGCACGAAAGCGUGGGGAGCAAACAGG